ensembl:lncRNA
CGUUGACCCUGAGCAUCCGUGGACACUAAAAAGAACAUUUCUGAAAUUAAAGAAGCUCAUGAAGAAUUUAUCUGAAACAUAACUCUCUCACAGCACAAGUUAAGGCUCCCUGGGGACUUCUCCAGUCAAGAAUGACCCCAGCAAUGGUGGGGGCUGUGUCCUUGGCCCCCACCCAGAUCCAGUCCCAUAGACUGGCAUGCAGGGAACCUCCCAGAGGGGAAGUUGAGCAGCUGGCCUGCCCCAGAGAAGAGUUUGGAGCAGGAGAGAGAAGAGAGGAGCCAGGAAGGUGACCAGAGUGACCAGAACUGCCAGCCAGGGGCCUCUCACUCUCCUGGAAGCCUCUGGAAACAUUACCCAAGGAACAGUGGUGCUAAAAGACCCUUUCUCUCCCAGUGCUGAUGGAAAGACAGUGGCAUCAGGAGCGAGACAGACCUAGACCGGCUGUGCCUCUUGCUAGCUGUACACUCAUCUGUUUUCUUUACAAA